UCCCUGAUGGCUCAGAGGUUGAAGUGUCUGCCUGCAAUGCAGGAGACCUGGGUUUGAUCCCUGGGUCGGGAA
rnacentral:tRNA from 1 species